rnacentral:rRNA from 1 species
GACGAACGCUGGCGGCGUGCCUAACACAUGCAAGUCGAACGAAGUGGCGAACGGGUGAGUAACGCGUAAUCAACCUGCCCUUCAGUGGGGGACAACAGUUGGAAACGACUGCUAAUCCCGAAUACUGAAGGAGGGGAUUGCGUCGGAUUUGCGAGUUGGAGGGGGAACGGCCCACCAAGGCGAUGAUCAGUAGCCGGUCUUAGGGGAUGAACGGCCACAUUGGGACUGGGACACGGCCCAGUCGCCUACGGGAGGCAGCAGUGGGGAAUCUUCCGCAAUGGACGAAAGUCUGACGGAGCAUCUCCGCGUGGGUGAUGACGGCCUUCGGGUUGUAAAGCUCUGUUAAUCGGGACGCGGUACCGGAAUAGAAAGCCACGGCUAACUACGUGCCAGCAGCCGCGGUAAUAC